AUGGGUGCUUUCCCGGUGUUCGUGGUGGACGGCGAGCCAUCGCCGCUCAAGUCGCAGGCCAGGGCCGCGCGCUUCUUCCGAGGCUCUGGGGUGGACCCACCUGCGUCGUCCUGCGCGGAGGCGGAAGGGGAGGCCAGUGCCCCGGCGCCGGUGAAGGCGAGAAAUGCUAUUUUCACGCGAUGCGUGAAGGACUGUGUGGAAUUGCUUAAAAAUCUUGGAAUGCCAGUAUUGUGGGCAAAGGGUGAAGCCGAAGCCCUUUGCGCUCAGUUGAACAACGAGGGUGAAGUGGAUGCCUGCAUUACUUCAGACAGUGAUGCUUUUCUCUUUGGAGCUAAGACUGUCAUAAAAGUGAUGCGGUCAAAUUGUAAGGAACCUUUUGAGUGCUACAACAUAGCGGAUAUUGAGCCUGGGAUUGGAUUGAAGAGGAAACAAAUGGUAGCCAUGGCACUUCUUAUCGGCAGUGACCAUGAUUUGCAUGGGGUGCCUGGUUUUGGUGUUGAGACCGCACUUCGAUUUGUGCGGUUAUUUGAUGAAGAUCAGAUUUUAGAUAAAUUACAUGAAAUUGGUAAAGGUAUCUAUCCAUUCCUAGAAGGAUUUGACAAGGCCCAUGUUGAUGAUCUACCAUCACCAUCGACAAAGAGCCCACCAGUUGCGAGAUCGCCUCACUGCUCACACUGUGGUCACCCCGGUAGCAAGAAAAAUCACAGCAAGACUGGAUGCAAUUAUUGCUUGGUGGAUUCAUUAGAGUUUUGCAUGGUAAAACCAGCUGGUUUCAUAUGUGAAUGUCCUAGCUGUGAAAAGGCGCGUGAUCUAAAAGCACAGAGAAGACAUGAGAAUUGGCAAAUCAAGGUGUGCAAAAGAUUAGCUGCUGAGACAAAUUUCCCAAAUGAGGAGAUAAUUAGAUUGUAUCUAUGUGAUGACAAUUUGGAUAAUAAAGAAAGUGGUGACCGAAAGCUUGAGUGGAAUGAGCCUAAAGUUGAUGAUUUGGUUGACUUGCUAACUUAUAUGCAGAACUGGGAACCGUCGUAUGUCCGACAGCACAUGCUCCCUAUGCUAUCAACUAUAUAUUUGCGCAGAAUGGCUUCAUCUCCAUGUAAAUCAUUGCUUCUCUGUGACCAAUAUGAGUUCCAUUCGAUUCAGCGCAUUAAGAUAAAACAUGGCCACCCUUAUUACUUGGUCAAAUGGAAGAGGGCCACUGGUGGUAUUGUUUCUGGUGGUGCGUCUCACAACAAGCCAGAAUUAGAUGGGGAGAGUCAUGCUGAGGUGGUGGUUUUGGAUGAUGACGAGGAGGAGGAAGAGGAGGAGGCAACGGUGAAUAUUGAAUCUGCUGACUCGUUGGAUGAGCCAGAUCUGCCGCAAGUACUCAGGGAUGAUGAUCAAGUAUAUCUAUUGACCGAUGAAGAUAUACAGCUCGUGAGUGCUGCAUUUCCUAAUGAUGCACGGCGGUUUCAGGAAGCCCAGAGGCUGAAAGAUGCAAAAUCAAGAUCACGGAAAUCCAAGCUGAGCCUAGCAGAUAGCAUGUUGGAGACACCGAAGGGCCCAAGACCCAGCGGGGUUCAGCUCAGCAUCAAGGAGUUUUACCGGUCGAAGAAAGCGGCGGGAGACGAAGCCGGAAAGAAGCCGGUCGUCGAGGGCGAGUCGUCGUCGUCGAGAGCUGGCUCGAGAAAAUCACCGCCGGUGGACCUGACAAAAAGGAUGCCCAAGUCCCUGCGCCGACGCCUGCUGUUCGACUAA
rnacentral:rRNA from 1 species